rnacentral:rRNA from 1 species
UUCCAGACUCCUACGGGAGGCAGCAGUGGGGAAUAUUGCACAAUGGGGGAAACCCUGAUGCAGCGACGCCGCGUGGGUGAAGAAGUAAUUCGUUACGUAAAGCCCUAUCAGCAGGGAAGAAAAUGACGGUACCUGAGUAAGAAGCCCCGGCUAACUACGUGCCAGCAGCCGCGGUAAUACGUAGGGGGCAAGCGUUAUCCGGAAUUACUGGGUGUAAAGGGAGCGUAGACGGUGAAGUAAGUCUGGAGUGAAAGGCGGGGGCCCAACCCCCGGACUGCUCUGGAAACUAUUUGACUGGAGUGCAGGAGAGGUAAGCGGAAUUCCUAGUGUAGCGGUGAAAUGCGUAGAUAUUAGGAGGAACACCAGUGGCGAAGGCGGCUUACUGGACUGUAACUGACGUUGAGGCUCGAAAGCGUGGGGAGCAAACAGGAUUAGAUACCCCCGUAC